rnacentral:rRNA from 1 species
CCUACGGGUGGCAGCAGUGAGGAAUAUUGGUCAAUGGUCGGGAGCCUGAACCAGCCAAGCCGCGUGAGGGAGGAAGGUACAGAGUAUCGUAAACCUCUUUUGUCAGGGAACAAAGACUGCGACGCGUCCCCGGAUGAGUGUACCUGAAGAAAAAGCAUCGGCUAACUCCGUGCCAGCAGCCGCGGUAAUACGGAGGAUGCGAGCGUUAUCCGGAUUUAUUGGGUUUAAAGGGUGCGCAGGCGGCCAGUUAAGUCAGCGGUCAAAGCCCGGUGCUCAACCCCGUCCCGCCGUUGAAACUGGCAGUCUGGAGGGGGAGAGAAGUAUGCGGAAGGCGUGGUGUAGAGGUGAAAUGCAUAGAUAUCACGCAGAACUCCGAGUGCGAAGGCAGCAGACCGGCGACCGACUGACGCUGAGGCACGAAAGCGUGGGGAUCGAACAGGAUGAGAUACCCGUGUAGUC